CACAUGCACAAAUUCAAACAGUUCAGACCCAAAAAGAAGGUUGGUUGAUUUUCUGUACAGCAACAAUAUUUUUAAAAUAUGAAACAGUAUUUAAAAAAAAUAAAAAUGUUUUUAACGUAAGAAAGAUAUUUGCAGUUUCUCACACUCCUUUCUGAUAUUCUGGUUCUCAAAGUUCAGCGUGGAUCUGACGUGUCUUUGCGAUGUGAUGUCCGUCUUCUGUCUAAAUCCUCCACAUUGAACUGGGAGAAAGAUGGAGAACACACACCCAACAGCACUCUGAUGUACAACAACUCUGCCUACAUCAUCUUACACACCGUUGAUGAACGCAAUAAAGGGAAUUAUUACUGUAGAUUGAUGGAAGAUGGAAGCGUACAAACUGUUAGGAUUCACACACUUAAUGUUACUUCAAGUUAGUACUUUUACGUUAUUAUGUUAUUCUUACAUUUACAUUACAUUUACAUUUAAUCAUUUAGCAGACGACUCUGCCUACAUCAUCUUACACACCGCUGAUGAACGCAAUAAAGGGAAUUAUUACUGUAGAUUGAUGGAAGAUGGAAGCGUACAAACUGUUAGGAUUCACACACUUAAUGUUACUUCAAAUUUAUAUGGAAGUCAAACCAUUUACAGACAAAGCCCCUUUCACAUCUCACCUGUGAACUUCAAUUAUAGUGGGACAUACAGGUGUAUUACUGAAAACACAAUCUACACAACCACAAUACCAUGCACCAUUAGAGUGGAGCCCCCUGAUGGUGUGUUGAGGAGUCAGUCAGUGGUUCUUACCUGUGAGGUUUCUGAAGUAACUGAUUCAGUGACGCUGGUCUGGUUUAGGAUGGAGGGGAACAGAGGAGUGCUGGUCAAACAGCAAAUUAUGACUGAGAAAAACAACAUGUUACGUCUCACAGUGAAUCUAGCCAGCUAUGAAACAGACCCGCUGCACUGGCAGUGUUCCAGGAGAUGACAGCUGGUUUAAAACCAGUCAUGCAAGUUCAGAGGUCAGCUUUAAAACCUCCUUUCAUAAAUAUUUCAGAUUGUCUUUUUGAUUUGUUAAUGAUGAGUGUGUUAUAUAUCUUUGUGAUUUAUGUACAGUAAAUACAUUCUUUAAGCUUGUAUGUCAAUAUCCACAGGUGUUGGACAGCAGUACUACAGUCAUCUACUAUCAACUACUGAAGCACAGUGAGCCUUGACACUGGACAUUCUUGUACAAAACUUUGUAUUACUUUUAUUAUUAUUAUUAUUAUUAUAAUUAUUGAAUGUAGUUAAAAAGAGCAAAUAAAUCUUGUAUUAAUAAUAGCGAGCUAGUCAAUCUUGGUUUGCUUUUUUUGGUAUAUGAAUGAAAAUUUUGCUCUUUGCUCAAGUGCAUUAUUGGAGUGCUCAGUCUGUAAGCAAAGGGUCUUUGGGUUUCACUUGAAUAGGAAACACAAAUGCAUCACCAGCACUAUCUCUGAGUAUAAUCAGAUCAAUAUGCUCACAGAAAUAAACCUCAAUGUGGUUUCAUGACACACAACUGAGUUAAAUGUAGCACAGUAUUUCCUGUUAUGGAAAAAAAAACUAAGAUGAUUUAGCCUUGCAAAAACAUUUCAAGUAAGAAUGAAAAAAUAAAUAUAUUUUAAUUGCAAGCAUUUAAAAACCAUGAGAUAUUCAUGAAAAAAAAAUAAUAAUGAUUGCAUUGCAUAUGUGGACUCAAGUCUGUAAAAAGUAAUUUCUGUUCUCAUUUUGAGAUAUAAAAUGUUGUCAAGCACAUUUGAAAUGCUUCUGUUACCACACGUGCAUCAAUAAAUCUAAUAACAAUAACAGUUUCUUAUACCUCUUGUCUAACUACAAUCACCUCCGACACAUGAACACGAAAUUGGUUUUGAACACCUAUUUCAAAACCAUACUAAACUCAACACUAAACUGAAAACCUUUACCUUUUUUAAUUUUUAUUUUAUUUUUUAUUAUUAUUCUUUUAAAUAUUUUCUAGUUAUUAUUCUAAUCUUAUGCAAUGAAUUAGCUGCAUUUUUCUGGGCAAAUACAAUAGUUUGAUAUUUUUUGAAUGUUAACUUACUAUCACUGUGUAUUGUUUCCAUUUAACUAAAAAGCCUAAAGAAGGCUGUUUAAG
rnacentral:lncRNA from 1 species